rnacentral:rRNA from 2 species
AGCUUGCUGGGGGGAUUACUGAAAAACGGUUGUUUAACACGUGAGUAACCUGCCCUUGACUCUGGGAUAAGCCUGGGAAACUGGGUCUAAUACCGGAUAUGACUCCUCAUCGCAUGGUGGGGGGUGGAAAGCUUUUGUGGUUUUUUCCCGAACACGCGGCCUAUCAGCUUGUUGGUGGGGUAAUGGCCUACCAAGGCGACGACGGGUAGCCGGCCUGAGAGGGUGACCGGCCACACUGGGACUGAGACACGGCCCAGACUCCUACGGGAGGCAGCAGUGGGGAAUAUUGCACAAUGGGCGCAAGCCUGAUGCAGCGACGCCACGUGAGGGAUGACGGACUUCGGGUUGUAAACCUCUUUCGGCACGGAAGAAGCCUUUCGGGGUGACGGUACUUGAAAAGAACCCCCGGCUAAUUACGGGGGGGCACCCGCAGACAUACGGAGGGCGCAGCGUUACCCGGAAUUAUUGGCCGUAAAGAG